CAUCUGUACGGGCUGCUUGGCUCCAGAACACACAGGCCUGAGCAGACCGCCGAUGGACGAAGUGCUGGGGCUGGCAGCUGUGCAUGUUUUCCCUGUCCCGCCUUUCUCUGUCCAGAGCAGCAGACAGGGCAGAAUGCCCCCGUCCAGAGAGGUGGAAAACCUGGCAGCUCCUGAGGCCCAUGCCCUCCUAUGACGCAUGGAAUGAACCCCAGGGAGAAGCUUGGAGAAGAAGGAGCAAAGCUGAAGGAGGGAUGGAAAUCCCCAGCAGGACUCCACAGGCAGGUAGCUCCAGCUCUGAGACUCCCCCGGUCCUGAAAUGCACACGGAGAAGGGAAGAGGUAGGGGAGGCUGGAUGGUGCCAGGUGGGAGAAGAUGGUAGAAGGGAUGGAGGGAGUGUGAAGGCACAGGGAGAGAGAGGAGAGGUGCAGGAGGGGCUGCGUGGUGACCCACCUCUGAUGGG
rnacentral:lncRNA from 1 species